GCCCACCAGCUAGCUCACCUAAGUAAAUACAACACCUCCACAUAAAUUAAACCCUAAAAUGACCCAACCUAAACAAACAAAUCAUUUUUCCCCCUAAGUACGGGCGACGGAAAAGAGACCCACGAAGCAAUAGAACGAGUACCGCAAGGGAAUGCUGAAAAAGAAAUGAAACAAACCAGUCAAGCCCAAAAAAGCAGAGACUAAACCUCGUACCUUUUGCAUCAUGAUUUAGCUAGUAACCCUCAAGCAAAGAGUACUUUAGUUUGAUUUCCCGAAACUACGCGAGCUACUCCAAGACAGCCUGUUUAUAGGGCAAACCCGUCUCUGUGGCAAAAGAGUGGGAAGAUCUUUGAGUAGUGGUGACAGACCUAUCGAGCCUAGUUAUAGCUGGUUGCCUAAAAACUGAAUAGGAGUUCAGCCUCUCGGCUUCUCUUCUCCCUCCACAUUAACCGACACUGAGAAAGCCCAGAGAGUUAUUCGAAGGGGGUUCAGCCCCUUUGAAACAAGACACAACUUUUCUAGAAGGUUAAAGACCACACCUCACCCUAAGGCAAAAUGUUCGAGUGGGCCUGAAAGCAGCCACCUCCCAGAAAGCGUUAAAGCUCAGACAUACGCCUCAACCUAAAAUCCUGGUUAACUAAUCUUAAACCCCUGACCCUUAUUAGGCCUUUCCAUGCCCCCAUGGAAGUGAUCCUGCUAGAAUGAGUAAUAAGAAAGGCUCUGCCUUUCUCCCCGCACAAGUGUACAUCGGAACGAACAAAGCUCCGAAUCUUAACGAACCCAAAUAAAGAGGGAACUGAAAGUCCCAAAAAGCAAGCAAGAAAAACAUUCAAUUUUUCCCGUUAACCCCACACUGGUGUGCACCCUCUGGAAAGACUAAAAGAGGAAGAAGGAACUCGGCAAACACAUAAAGCCUCGCCUGUUUACCAAAAACAUCGCCUCUUGUAAACAACAAAUAAGAGGUCCCGCCUGCCCAGUGACUAUAUGUUCAACGGCCGCGGUAUUUUGACCGUGCGAAGGUAGCGCAAUCACUUGUCUUUUAAAUGAAGACCUGUAUGAAUGGCACGACGAGGGCUUGACUGUCUCCUUCCUCCAGUCAAUGAAAUUGAUCUCCCCGUGCAGAAGCGGGGAUUUUUACAUAAGACGAGAAGACCCUAUGGAGCUUUAGACUUUUAAGGCAGACUAUGUUAAACACUCAAGAACAAAAGACCAAACGGUAUACACACUGCCCUUAAUGUCUUUGGUUGGGGCGACCCUGGGGAACUACUAAACCCCCAUGAAGACAGGGAGAACGCACUCCUACAAACAAGAGCCACAGCUCUAGCUUACAGAAUUUCUAACUUAUAUGAUCCGGCCAUGCCGAUCAACGGACCGAGUUACCCUAGGGAUAACAGCGCAAUCCUCUUUUAGAGUCCAUAUCGACAAGAGGGUUUACGACCUCGAUGUUGGAUCAGGACAUCCUAAUGGUGCAGCAGCUAUUAAGGGUUCGUUUGUUCAACGAUUAACAGUCCUACGUGAUCUGAGUUCAGACCGGAGUAAUCCAGGUCAGUUUCUAUCUAUGAAGUAUUCUUUUCUAGUACGAAAGGAUCGAAAAGGAGAGCCCCAUACUCGAAGCACGCCUCCCUCCCACUUACUGAAACCAACUUAAGUAGCCAACGGAGAACACCCCUAUAUCUGAAAAAAAUAGUGU
rnacentral:rRNA from 1 species